ACCUACGGGGGGCAGCAGUAGGGAAUUUUCGUCAAUGGGCGCAAGCCUGAACGAGCAAUGCCGCGUGAACGAGGAAGGUCUUCGGAUCGUAAAGUUCUGUUGAAGGGGAAAAAGAGCGGAGAGAGGAAAUGGUCUCCGAUUGAUAUUACCCUUCGAGGAAGUCACGGCUAACUACGUGCCAGCAGCCGCGAUAAUACGUAGGUGGCGAGCGUUAUCCGGAAUGAUUGGGCGUAAAGGGUGCGUAGGCGGCCUGCUAAGUCUGGAGUGAAAGGUACCGGCUCAACCGGUACAGGCUCUGGAAACUG
rnacentral:rRNA from 1 species